rnacentral:rRNA from 1 species
GACGUAGGGGGCAAGCGUUGUCCGGAAUUAUUGGGCGUAAAGAGCUCGUAGGCGGCCAGUUGCGUCUGCUGUGAAAUCCCGGGCUCAACCCCGGGCGUGCAGUGGAUACGGGCUGGCUAGAGGCAGGCAGGGGAGAACGGAAUUCCCGGUGUAGCGGUGAAAUGCGCAGAUAUCGGGAGGAACACCGGUGGCGAAAGCGGCUGCUCGUCGGGA